AAAACGACUCUCGGCAACGGAUAUCUCGGCUCUCGCAUCGAUGAGAGAACGCAGCGAAAUGCGAUACUUGGUGUGAAUUGCAGAAUCCCGCGAACCAUCGAGUCUUUGAACGCAAGUUGCGCCCGAAGCCUUUUGGCCGAGGGCACGUCUGCCUGGGUGUCACGCAACAU
rnacentral:rRNA from 1 species